GUGCCUGUUGCGGCUAGCAGACGUUGCGUCCCGCCGCGCGAGGAGAGAGACAGAGCGAUACGGCACCGAGGCAGUGCGACGGAGAGCGAGCACAGUCGCCCGAAAGACGCGCGCGCUCGCGUUUCGUGUGCUUUUCACAAGUUUCUGUUGUUUUCCUCGACUUGUGUGCGUGUGAGCGGACGUGAGAGAGUGUGAGUGCGUGUGGAUAAGCUACAACUUUGGUGGCUGUGAUUGUGUGGACAUCGUUCAGGAACUUUUUGGAUUACGCAUCUUCCCAGACUACCGACAGAUGACAUGACGCCGCCUAACGAGUCGCAGCAGCAGCGUCACUGAGAGGCCUGAGGGGCCCGACGGCCUGAGGGCCGCUACCCGGCGUGGUGGCGGCGCGCGGCGCGGUGGC
rnacentral:misc_RNA from 1 species